GGCGCACGGGGUGCGUAACACGUGGGUAAUCUGCCCUGAAGCUCGGGAUAACUCGCCGAAAGGCGUGCUAAUACCGGAUAAGACCACGGGAGCCUCGGCUCCUGCGGGAAAAGGUGGCCUCUGCAUGCAAGCUAUCACUUCAGGAUGAGCCCGCGGCCCAUCAGCUCGUUGGCGGGGUAACGGCCCACCAAGGCUACGACGGGUAGCUGGUCUGAGAGGACGAUCAGCCACACUGGAACUGAGAUACGGUCCAGACUCCUACGGGAGGCAACAGUGGGGAAUCUUGCGCAAUGGGCGAAAGCCUGACGCAGCAACGCCGCGUGUGUGAUGAAGGUCUUCGGAUCGUAAAGCACUGUC
rnacentral:rRNA from 1 species